AAUAAAUUCAGAUUGAUUCCUAGGGAAUUGCUGAAUAAGAGAACCAAACCUAGAAAAUAAAACCUGCAAAGUUGUUCAGCAAAUUGUUUACCUUAGUUUGUAACUUUGCAGGAAAUGGAUUCUAAGAAAACCCUGUUUCAACCCUACAACCAGAAAAGUAUUUCAGGGACUGCCAGGGAGGACCCCUUCUGUCACUUCAGGUCAAUGGCACCUGCCUAUGUUUCCAGGAGAAAUCCAGGACUGAAAGAGCAUGAAAACUGAUUUGUUUCUCACCUAGAAUGGGUGAUCCUUCCAGGUCAGUUUACAAUGCUUUAAUCCCUGGCUGAUGCUUCAUGAUACCAUUUACCGGAUGAGCCCAUAUGCUCUUAGGUGACAAUGUGUGUUAACACUUCUGUUUGGCCAGAACCAAAAGUUGGAAGGACCUGCUAAUGAGCAUUGCUGCUUCAAAAUUUCGGAAGUAUGACUCUUAUCUACCCUCAUCAUAUAGAGCAAAAAACAAGUGGAAAUUAUACAUACAAUAUCAAUGCCAACGUAUAAUUAUUCUCAUAUUGAUAAUUUUAGAACUAGA